rnacentral:rRNA from 1 species
CCCUACGGGUGGCUGCAGUGGGGAAUAUUGGACAAUGGGCGAAAGCCUGAUCCAGCCAUGCCGCGUGUGUGAAGAAGGCCUUCGGGUUGUAAAGCACUUUCAGUGGGGAAGAAAGCCUUGGGGCUAAUACCCUCGAGGAAGGACAUCACCCACAGAAGAAGCACCGGCUAACUCCGUGCCAGCAGCCGCGGUAAUACGGAGGGUGCGAGCGUUAAUCGGAAUUACUGGGCGUAAAGCGCGCGUAGGCGGUCUGAUAAGCCGGUUGUGAAAGCCCCGGGCUCAACCUGGGAACGGCAUCCGGAACUGUCAGGCUAGAGUGCAGGAGAGGAAGGUAGAAUGCCCGGUGUAGCGGUGAAAUGCGUAGAGAUCGGGAGGAAUACCAGUGGCGAAGGCGGCCUUCUGGACUGACACUGACGCUGAGGUGCGAAAGCGUGGGUAGCAAACAGGAUUAGAUACCCGGGUAGUC